rnacentral:rRNA from 1 species
UACGGAGGGUGCAAGCGUUGUCCGGAUUUAUUGGGUUUAAAGGGUGCGUAGGCGGCUUUUUAAGUCAGUGGUGAAAUCCUACAGCUUAACUGUAGAACAGCCAUUGAUACUGAAAAGCUUGAGUACAGACGAGGUAGGCGGAAUUUAUGGUGUAGCGGUGAAAUGCAUAGAUACCAUAAAGAACUCCUAUUGCGAAGGCAGCUUACUAGGCUGUAACUGACGCUGAGGCACGAAAGCGUGGGGAUCAAACAGG